AAAAAACUGGUUGAGUGGUAGAGCCUUACACUUAAAACUAAAUUUAGUAAAAGGCAAAAAUCAAAAUAUUAUAGCAAAAGUUAUCCAUAUUUUAAAGGCAAAAGUUCAAUUUUAAUGUUUUUAA
rnacentral:tRNA from 1 species